GAUGAACGCUGGCGGCGUGCUUAACACAUGCAAGUCGAACGGUGAACGAGGGAGCUUGCUCCCUCCGGAUCAGUGGCGAACGGGUGAGUAACACGUGAGCAAUCUGCCCCGAUCUCUGGGAUAAGCGCUGGAAACGGCGUCUAAUACCGGAUACGACGCGCGAAGGCAUCUUCUGCGCGUGGAAAGAAUUUCGGUUCGGGAUGAGCUCGCGGCCUAUCAGCUAGUUGGUGAGGUAACGGCUCACCAAGGCGACGACGGGUAGCCGGCCUGAGAGGGUGACCGGCCGCACUGGGACUGAGACACGGCCCAGACUCCUACGGGAGGCAGCAGUGGGGAAUAUUGCACAAUGGGCGCAAGCCUGAUGCAGCAACGCCGCGUGAGGGACGACGGCCUUCGGGUUGUAAACCUCUUUUAGUAGGGAAGAAGCGAAAGUGACGGUACCUGCAGAAAAAGCACCGGCUAACUACGUGCCAGCCGCCGCAGUAAUAC
rnacentral:rRNA from 1 species